CAUCUCCACUCAGCUGGCAACUCUGAGUUUCUGGCAGGGUAUGGAGGGGAAGGUAGUUGCUAUCAAUAGAGUAAGGAAAGUGGACUCCAGCUCAGAUGACAAUAAACCAAAUCGGCUUCCUGCUGUUUAUCAUCCUGGCCAUCAGAAGUUGCGGCGCUGGUGA